rnacentral:rRNA from 1 species
AGUGAACGCUGGCGGUAGGCCUAACACAUGCAAGUCGAACGGCAGCACAGUAAGAGCUUGCUCUUACGGGUGGCGAGUGGCGGACGGGUGAGGAAUACAUCGGAAUCUACUUUUUCGUGGGGGAUAACGUAGGGAAACUUACGCUAAUACCGCAUACGACCUACGGGUGAAAGCAGGGGAUCUUCGCACCUUGCGCGAUUGAAUGAGCCGAGGUCGGAUUAGCUAGUUGGCGGGGUAAAGGCCCACCAAGGCGACGAUCCGUAGCUGGUCUGAGAGGAUGAUCAGCCACACUGGAACUGAGACACGGUCCAGACUCCUACGGGAGGCAGCAGUGGGGAAUAUUGGACAAUGGGCGCAAGCCUGAUCCAGCCAUACCGCGUGGGUGAAGAAGGCCUUCGGGUUGUAAAGCCCUUUUGUUGGGAAAGAAAAGCAGCAGGUUAAUACCCCGCUGUUCUGACGGUACCCAAAGAAUAAGCACCGGCUAACUUCGUG